UACGUAGGGUGCAAGCGUUGUCCGGAAUUAUUGGGCGUAAAGAGCUCGUAGGCGGUUUGUCGCGUCGGCUGUGAAAACUCGGGGCUCAACCCCGAGCCUGCAGUCGAUACGGGCAGACUAGAGUGCGGUAGGGGAGACUGGAAUUCCUGGUGUAGCGGUGAAAUGCGCAGAUAUCAGGAGGAACACCGGUGGCGAAGGCGGGUCUCUGGGCCGGAUACUGACGCUGGAGGAGCGAAAGCGUGGGGAGCGAACAGG
rnacentral:rRNA from 1 species